GCCAUAUGAUGUUUUCCUUUCGAAAGGUGAGCGCUUUGCGCAGUGAUGACCCUCAUCUAUCACCCUUGACUGAUGGCU
ensembl:snoRNA SNORD83 Small nucleolar RNA SNORD83